CCAUUUCCAAGCCCUUCCCUGUCCCGCAUGCAGCUGUCCCUGGCAGGCUGUUGCUGAACCCUGGUAAUCUAGGGGAACCGCAGUGAGGUUAUGGGCGUGUUCCGUGAAUAUCCAAAAUCUUAGCAUUUCGUCCCAACUCUAAACUGUCCCUAAAUUGUUCUUGCAACCAGUUAGCUCGUUUUCCUACGUUCCUCAGUAUACGUGUGUCAUCACCCCACCCAUUCCCCCUCCUCUCAUCACAUGGCUCUCAGAACACUUGUAUCUCCCCGCAGGCUUCCACCAGCACUGGCAGAAGCCUCAUCGCCGCUCCUCGCCCCGGAACCCUCUAACAAUCCAGGCGGCAGGCGACACAUUAUUUUGCGUAAUACGGAAGCAUUGGUCCGCCCCCACGAUGCUAGGUCAAUAAAAGACAACAGAAAGCGCCGGUGGGCUUUUUUGCACCCCUGGCCUGGCCCGGCCCUCACCCCUCCACCUCCGCGCUGCGUCUGUGUUUGGCUGUCCCUCUCAUGCUAAGUCGCGGGUUGAAGGGAGGAGGGGAGGGACUGACGCGCCACCAUAACCUUCCCGGGGAGCGACGCGCCUGGCGGAGGGUCGCUUCGUCGAGGGAGACACAUGAGGAGGUAUGUGUGGGUGGGUGCGUGUGUGAGUCAGGGCAGGGACGCGCGGCAGUCACGGGAUCAGGGAGGACCGGAGGGAAUGCGAUGGUUAUUGAUGGCGCACAGACCCGGCGAGCGCCAUAAAUUUCGGUGAGAAAGAGACCCGCCGAACACGUCCGCAAUAAAAUACGCAGUUGCAGACGAACUUUAUUUUGAAGAAAGAGCGUGAACAUUGCGAUUGAUGAGUCAGUUUAUGCGUUGAUUAUUUUCCGGUUUAUCGUGAAUGCGUCUCUCACGGAUCUCAGGCUAGCGUUCAAUAGGCAGAGAAAUGGGCCAUCAACGGAAGGUUCAUUUAUCCGCAGUUGUCUUGGUGUUAGGAGAGGGUGAUCGUGUUGCGGGUGAUUUAAAUUGCCCACUAAGUUGAUGUGUGGAAGAGUUGAGGAAUGUAAGUGAUCACCUUUCUCCGUGGCAGUGAAAGUCGACGUCCACGCGGGAGAAAGAGGCGACACAAAGGAAAAAGAAAAGUUCCUCCAGAUAAGGACAAGAGCGAGAAAACUGACAACUUUAAGGUGGACGCAUAAUAAAGAAUACUAUAUACCCAUUACUUGUAAGAAAUUGCGGAAAAUAGUAAGAGCAUGGGAACUCGCUGUCGAGAAGUUUUGUUGAGAAGCCUGAGAUUAUAAAUUAAACGUGACCAAACUCUUAAUUCAUCUUAGUGAAAUAUAAAAUAAGAUUGGAAAGCGUAUGACAUUAUUCGCGACAUCAUUCGAAAACACUUUUGAGAACCUCGAAUUUAUGCGCCCACGACGAAGAAAAGAAAGAAAACCGGUUAGAAAUGAGAAUAAUCGAAAUAAGGUUUAAAGAAAGAACAGUCUGCGUAUUUGUACAUGGCGUAAUUGGAAGAACGAGAGAGAGUCUUUGAUUCAUCACCAACCAACACCACAUUCCACGUAGACCAGGAAACACGACCACAGAUCUCCCUGAACAUUACACAAAGAUAACAACACGCCGAUGACCGCGCCGCCACUCCGCACCACCGUCAGGCAGCAAGGGAGUAAAGGUCAUGCAGAGGCUCAGAGGUCAUUGUGCGGCAGUGCAAUGAAAGAAAAAGGAAACUACGGCGCUUUGUGAGAGGAGAAAAAAAUAAAUAAAAAGAAAUAACAAACGACUCACUCACAUUAAUAACAACGAGUCCGAACCUUCGAAACUAAAAAAAGGAAAAGAAACAGGAACUAUUCAAUUUACGAAGACAUAAGUAACAGAAUCGAAGUCUCAAUUACAUAUCCGCUGCAAGAGAUAUUACACUCUGUCUGGCCGGCUCGCGGAGGGGAGGGAGGGGCGAGGUGAGACAAGUCGGAGAGGUGGAGGUUGGGGCGGCGGGUUGGAAGGAAGGAAGGGCGGGACUGGACGAAACUGGACCUCACGCACGCUGCCUCACGCCACCCGACCAACCAACCAACCGGCCAUCUCCAUCUCCGAUCAGUAACUUUCUAUCGCCGGGGAAGAUCCUGUUCUCUUCUCCUCUGCUAAGCCCCGGCUCAUACUGUGAAAGCGAAUAUACGGACGGCUCAGCGCUGCAUGCGUGAUCCUUUUCCACGACUAAAUGUGACAGCAGCGUGAGAGAAACUGAAUGGAUAGAAGACGCCUCAAUGGGGGGGGUGGGAUGGACGGCGAUGGAGGGAAG